AUAAUUUAAUCUGUAACAUAUUUGAUGACUGGUAUUACAUUAUAUAACCUCCAGUGUUAAUAUUUCUGCUCGCAAUUUCACUUCAAAUUAAUACAUUAUUAAAGCUCGCAAUAGUCAGCAUACAUAUAGAGUCAAAACCUGAACUUUAACCGUUUUUAUUUGAAGGCAGUUCAUUUUAGGUAGGAAAAAUGGUUUACAUUUCUGAAACUUGUCCAGUUGGCGGCAGUAACGCGACAUUCCCCCAGCCCCAAACGAACAAACAGAAGGAGAAGAAAACCAGAGAGAGCUACUAGGAGCUUUGAGGAUCAUGGGACAGGGAAUUUUGUUUUAUCCUCGCGCAUCUUGAAGUGAUUUGUCCUCGAGCGCAUCUACAAACAGGCUCACGUCCGCGAGCUCACCAAGGCACGAGCCAGAAUGUGAACAAGUUCAAUGCAGAUGACUUAGGCUCCUUCACUCAUUUACUGUUUUUCAAGGUAGAAUAUUACAGCAGGUCCAUAAGAUAUUGUGUGAAGUGGAAAGGAUCCAUGUGUCCCCAACGCUCCAACAGACAGCCUAGGGCCUCCAAGAAGAACACCAAGACAAGCCCCGCUCCAGAGGAAGAAGUCAUCCAGCGUCAGCUGAGAGGGCGGAGGGGGAAAGGCAGUACUGGUGACAGCCUCUGUAUCGCAGGUGAGGGAACAGGGUGCGACAUCCUCGACAUCAUUACCACUCAGGAAGAGAAGCAUGUUGGUGAAGAAGAUGGGGGAAAGGCGGUAGAGAUAGCUCAUAAAGAACUGGACGACUUGGAUGAAGACCGAGUCUCUGUUUGCAGCAGCACAGCGUCUGGUCCCUCUUUUUAUCACUCCACCUACAGAAAAGCGAGGCCUUCCCAGAACCUGUGCUUGGCCUGUCAGAAGCUCUACCAGAAAGCAAAGAAGAUAAAAACACCAAUCAUAAACAAACUGCUGGACAAUGAUCCUAUGUCCCCGACAUGUGACCAGUGGGUCCUUAUCAAAAAGCGGACAUCCCAAAGGUGGCCUGAUGCAAGAGGGAAGCUUUUGAGCCACAUAAAGAAGAUAAAGAAGGCCUGUGAGAAACAAAGUGAGCAGCGUGUGGAAGAAUCUGCCGUCUGUUCAAGGCCGCACACUUUCCUCCACAGGAACCUCAGACGAUGUGUGAAAGCGAAAAAGGAGAGGAAGAAGAAUAAGAACAGGAGGAAGAGACAGAGAGACGGUUCGCAGGGUACUCGUGCCGCUAAGCAGCAGCGUCUCCACACCAACACUCCCAUCAAGAUGACCUGUGUAGAGCCAAACAGCCGCCGAAAAAGCAGCAGUCAGGGGAACAGAGGUGUGACUGCUGAGGCGAUUCCCUCGUCUGUGACACAGGAAGCCACCACACCAAGCAAGAGAACACCAAAGCAGACGGGUAGAUUCAGAAACUUGCUGGCUGAGCUACGGAGCAAGAGCAGCAUGAUUGUAAGAGAAACACACUAGUGAGGAGGCAGGAUUCGAGUGCUAAUCGCUUUUAGUCGUGAUGUUCUGCUGGUCUUCAGUAUUGUUACCUAUUCGGUGGCCUAUGCCUAGAGUUACUUGACAAAGUGCCGUCGCAGUUCUGUGCAUGUUUUGUUUGUGAUCCUUUAAAAUUAAAAAUAAUAUUUAUUUAAUGUUCCUUACAACUGGACAGCUGUGAAUAAAUGUUUAUGUUGAUCUCAUGCCAUGCCUUUUUUUUUUUUUAAAUACCGACAUAAGUUCACUCACUCGCAUUCAAAAACACUCGUGCAUUUACAGCUCUUCACAAAAUCAAGUACCUUUCACCUGUAUGCAAACACUUGCUUAUUUUCAUUUUCGUUUGCAGCAAGCUGGUCACUGUUCAUAGUGUCCACAGCAUGUACACCACUUCCUGCUAGCGCUCCAGCUUCUUCAGUGAGCUGCAUUUCAGGGAUGUUAAAGUUGCACAGCAUCAGAGCUUUGACUCGUUAUAUAAUGUGAAGAUAUCAGUCCUCACUCCCAAGUGUGGUGUCCACAACUAGGUGAUAAUGGGAGGAGAGAGGGAUUUCACAGCUUCAGUGUCUGAGUGGGCUGUUGUUGGACAUUAUUUUUUCACAA
ensembl:lncRNA